rnacentral:rRNA from 1 species
AGAGUUUGAUUCUGGGUCAGAUUGAACGCUGGCGGCAUGCCUUACACAUGCAAGUCGAACGGCAGCACGGGAGCUUGCUCCUGGUGGCGAGUGGCGAACGGGUGAGUAAAGCAUCGGAACGUGCCCUGAAGUGGGGGAUAACGUAGCGAAAGUUACGCUAAUACCGCAUAUUCUGUGAGCAGGAAAGCAGGGGAUCUUCGGACCUUGUGCUUUAGGAGCGGCCGAUGUCGGAUUAGCUAGUUGGUGAGGUAAAGGCUCACCAAGGCGACGAUCCGUAGCGGGUCUGAGAGGAUGAUCCGCCACACUGGGACUGAGACACGGCCCAGACUCCUACGGGAGGCASCCGUUGGGAAUUUUGGACAAUGG